AUUGAACGCUGGCGGCAGGCCUAACACAUGCAAGUCGAACGAGUGGCGGACGGGUGUGUAAUGUCUGGGAAACUGCCUGAUGGAGGGGGAUAACUACUGGAAACGGUAGAUAAUACCGCCUACCAUCGGCUGUGCCCAGAUGGGAUUGGCUAGUAGGUGGGGUAACGGCUCACCUAGGCGACGAUCCCUAGCUGGUCUGAGAGGAUGACCGGCCACACGGGGGCAGAGAGACGGGCCAGACGCCUGCGGGAGGCAGCAGGGGGGAAUAUGGCAGAAUGGGUGCAAGCCGGAUGCAGCCAUGCCGCGUGGAUGAAGAAGGCCUUGGGGUUGUAAGGUACUGUCGGCGGCGAGGGGGUACGCGCAAAAGAAGGACCGGCUAGCUCCGUGCCAGCAGCCGCGGUAAUAC
rnacentral:rRNA from 1 species